rnacentral:rRNA from 1 species
UACAGAGGGGCAAGCGUUAUUCGGAAUUAUUGGGCGUAAAGGGCGCGUAGGCGGCUUGGCAAGUGGAUGGUGAAAUCCCUCGGCUUAACCGAGGAACUGCCGUCCAAACUGCUUCGCUUGAGACCGGGAGAGGUGAGUGGAAUUCCCAGUGUAGCGGUGAAAUGCGUAGAUAUUGGGAGGAACACCAGUGGCGAAGGCGGCUCACUGGACCGGUACUGACGCUGAUGCGCGAAAGCGUGGGGAGCAAACGGG